CAAAAAACAAAAAACAAUUCUAGAUAGUCUUCACUUGUAUACGCCAGUGAGCUCCCCAUUUCCUACCUUCUGAUGAAAUGUGACCAUCUGUUUUGUGCAUUCCCUACAUUAAAGCAUAACGAAACCAUACUCAGGAAAAGUAUUUCUUUGAUGCAGCUAGCAGUGUAUAUAGAAGCUGCAGCUAACAGAGAUAGUGGGAAGUUCAAAAUUUCAGAUUGAGCUGCAGCAAUUAGAUUUAGACAUACUAUUUAAAACUAACCUUUUUGUCAGAUUGGGUUGCCUUGAGAAACAUCAUAAUGAACACAUAUGGUGUUGCACCUGCGAAGGAAGUACGAAAAUCAAAUUGACUCACAGACCACAGAGACAUGUAAUGGUGAAACACAGAUCCAUAGUGGUGCAACCGACGAUUAAGGAAUAUUAACACAUGGCACUAAAUAAUUAUCUACCCAUAUGCAUUUGUAUGCGAAUUAGGGAGUUCAGCCAUCAAGUUAUCUACCCUACUUCGUGUGAGAACUAGUAAAUUUUAAAAUAUGGCCUUGUUCAUUUCAAAUAUGCAGGCAGAGUAUAUGCGAAUAAUCCCAACGACCCAGGUAAACCAAAACAUUGAUAUACAUCAAAACAAGUACUACAUAACUGUACAAUUUCAUAAAAGAGUGUCACAGAAGUCAAGACAUGAAAUGGUACUAGCC
rnacentral:lncRNA from 1 species